rnacentral:rRNA from 1 species
AACGAACGCUGGCGGCAGGCUUAACACAUGCAAGUCGAACGGAUCCUUCGGGAUCAGUGGCGGACGGGUGAGUAACGCGUGGGAACCUACCCUGGGGUGGGGAAUAACCUUGGGAAACCGAGGCUAAUACCGCAUACGCCCUAUUGGGAAAGGACUAUGUUGCCCUGGGAUGGGCCCGCGUCCGAUUAGCUAGUUGGUGGGGUAAGUGGCCUACCAAGGCUGCGAUCGGUAGCUGGUCUGAGAGGAUGAUCAGCCACACUGGGACUGAGACACGGCCCAGACUCCUACGGGAGGCAGCAGUGGGGAAUAUUGGACAAUGGGGGCAACCCUGAUCCAGCCAUGCCGCGUGAGUGAAGAAGGCCUUAGGGUUGUAAAGCUCUUUCACCCGUGACGAUGAUGACGGUAGCGGGAGAAGAAGCCCCGGCUAAUUCCGUGCCAGCAGCCGCGGUAAU